rnacentral:rRNA from 1 species
UACGGGGGGAGCAAGCGUUGUUCGGAUUUACUGGGCGUAAAGGGCGCGUAGGCGGUCAGCACAAGUCAGUUGUGAAAUCUCCGGGCUUAACUCGGAAAGGUCAACUGAUACUGUGCGACUAGAGUGCAGAAGGGGCAACUGGAAUUCUCGGUGUAGCGGUGAAAUGCGUAGAUAUCGAGAGGAACACCUGCGGCGAAAGCGGCCACCUGGACUGUACCUGACGCUAACACGCGAAAGCUAGGGGAGCGAACGGG